GAAAGAUUCAUCGGAAGAGGAUGGGCAUGCGGCGCAUUAGCUAGACGGCGGGGUAACGGCCCACCGUGGCGACGAUGCGUAGGGGUUCUGAGAGGAAGGUCCCCCACACUGGUACUGAGACACGGACCAGACUCCUACGGGAGGCAGCAGUGAGGAAUAUUGGUCAAUGGGAGAGAUCCUGAACCAGCCAAGCCGCGUGAGGGAAGACGGCCCUAUGGGUUGUAAACCUCUUUUGUCGGAGAACAAAACCCGGGACGUGUCCCGGGCUGCGUGUAUCCGAAGAAAAAGCAUCGGCUAACUCCGUGCCAGCAGCCGCGGUAAUACGGAGGAUGCGAGCGUUAUCCGGAUUUAUUGGGUUUAAAGGGUGCGUAGGCGGUCCGUUAAGUCAGCGGUAAAAUUGCGGGGCUCAACCCCGUCGAGCCGUUGAAACUGGCAGACUUGAGUUGGCGAGAAGUACGCGGAAUGCGCGGUGUAGCGGUGAAAUGCAUAGAUAUCGCGCAGAACUCCGAUUGCGAAGGCAGCGUACCGGCGCCAGACUGACGCUGAGGCACGAAAGCGUGGGGAUCGAACAGGAUUAGAUACCCUGGUAGUCCACGCAGUAAACGAUGAAUGCUGGUUGUCCGGGUCGAAUGAGAUCUGG
rnacentral:rRNA from 1 species